rnacentral:rRNA from 1 species
UACGUAGGGCGCAAGCGUUGUCCGGAAUUAUUGGGCGUAAAGAGCUCGUAGGCGGUUUGUCGCGUCUGCCGUGAAAGUCCGGGGCUCAACUCCGGAUCUGCGGUGGGUACGGGCAGACUAGAGUGUGGUAGGGGAGACUGGAAUUCCUGGUGUAGCGGUGAGAUGCGCAGAUAUCAGGAGGAACACCGAUGGCGAAGGCAGGUCUCUGGGCCACUACUGACGCUGAGAAGCGAAAGCAUGGGGAGCGAACAGG